rnacentral:rRNA from 1 species
ACGGAAGGCAGCAGUGAGGAAUAUUGGUCAAUGGGCGGAAGCCUGGACCAGCCAAGUCGCGUGAAGGAUGAAGGUAUUAUGUAUUGUAAACUUCUUUAGCAGCAGAGUAAUAAGGGGGUCGUGACCCCCGAUGCAAGUAUGCUGAAAAUAAGGAUCGGCUAACUCCGUGCCAGCAGCCGCGGUAAUACGGAGGAUCCGAGCGUUAUCCGGAUUUAUUGGGUUUAAAGGGUGCGUAGGCGGUUUUUUAAGUCAGUGGUUAAAUCGUGAGGCUCAACCUCAUCACGCCAUUGAUACUGGAAGACUUGAUUGCGGUUGAGGUUGGCGGAAUUCGUCGUGUAGCGGUGAAAUGCAUAGAUAUGACGAAGAACACCGAUUGCGUAGGCAGCUGACCAAGCCGUAAAUGACGCUCAUGCACGAAAGUGCGGGGAUCGAACAGGAUUAGAUACCCUGGUA